CCCUGGCGGCUUAGCGGUAAAGAACCUGCCUGCUGUGCAGGAGACCCAGGUCCAACCCAUGGGUCAGGGA
rnacentral:tRNA from 1 species